rnacentral:rRNA from 1 species
GGGGAAUUUUGGACAAUGGGGGCAACCCUGAUCCAGCCAUGCCGCGUGAGUGAAGAAGGCCUUCGGGUUGUAAAGCUCUUUCAGACGGAAAGAAAUCGCAUCCUCUAAUACGGGGUGUGGAUGACGGUACCGUAAGAAGAAGCACCGGCUAACUACGUGCCAGCAGCCGCGGUAAUACGUAGGGUGCGAGCGUUAAUCGGAAUUACUGGGCGUAAAGCGUGCGCAGGCGGUGAUGUAAGACAGAUGUGAAAUCCCCGGGCUCAACCUGGGAACUGCGUUUGUGACUGCAUCACUCGAGUACGGCAGAGGGAGGUGGAAUUCCACGUGUAGCAGUGAAAUGCGUAGAGAUGUGGAGGAACACCGAUGGCGAAGGCAGCCUCCUGGGCCAGUACUGACGCUCAUGCACGAAAGCGUGGGGAGCAAAC